UACAGAGGUCUCAAGCGUUGUUCGGAUUCAUUGGGCGUAAAGGGUGCGUAGGCGGCGCGGUAAGUCGGGUGUGAAAUCUUGGAGCUUAACUCCGAAACUGCAUUCGAUACUGCCGUGCUUGAGGACUGGAGAGGAGACUGGAAUUUACGGUGUAGCGGUGAAAUGCGCAGAUAUCGGGAGGAACACCGGUGGCGAAGGCGGUUCUCUGGGCCUGACCUGACGCUGAGGAGCGAAAGCGUGGGGAGCGAACAGG
rnacentral:rRNA from 1 species